GAUGAACGUUGGCGGCAUGCCUAACACAUGCAAGUCGAUCGGUAAGGCUCUUCGGAGUACACGAGAGGCGGACGGCUGAGUAACGCGUAGGAACACACCCUGCAGUGAGGGAUAAGACACCGAAAGGUGUUCUAAUACCGCAUACGGUCUUCGGAUUAAAGCAUUUAUGCGCUGAAGGAGUGGCCUGCGUCAUAUUAGAUAGUUGGUGAGGUAAUGGCUCACCAAGUCGAUGAUGUGUAGCUGGUCUGAGAGGAUGAUCAGCCAGACUGGAACUGAGACACGGUCCAGACUCCUACGGGAGGCAGCAGUGAGGAAUAUUUCACAAUGAGCGAAAGCUUGAUGGAGCAAUGCCGCGUGCAGGAUGAAGGCCCUCGGGUUGUAAACUGCUUUUAUAAGAGAAGAUUAUGACGGUAACUUAUGAAUAAGGGACGGCUAACUACGUG
rnacentral:rRNA from 1 species